rnacentral:rRNA from 1 species
GACGAACCGUGCGAACGUUAUUCGGAAUCACUGGGCUUAAAGGGCGCGUAGGCUGGCUGCCGCGUCGGGGCUGAAAGCCCCCGGCUCAACCGGGGAAUCGGCCUCGAUACGGGCAGCCGUGGAGGCGAGGAGGGGGACCUGGAACGUCCGGUGGAGCGGUGAAAUGCGUUGAGAUCGGACGGAACUCCGACGGCGAAAGCAAGGUCCUGGACUCGUUCUGACGCUGAGGCGCGAAAGCCAGGGGAGCGAACGGG